GGUGCAGGGUGGAGAUCUAGUUAGGAACCUGCUGCCCAAGACCAUCUCGGCUCCCUACUCUCGGGCAGCUGACUUAACAGUGAUGUAUGGAGCUCCUUCAAGGCACUGGGCUCUGAGCUAGGAAUUGUGAUGGCAAUAAGAAGGACAAGGCAGGACUGUUGUCUUCAAGAUGCUCCUCUCGCCCAUGACCUCUGUGUCUAGAGCAGAGAGGCACAUCUCCACCCUCUUCUGAGUCUCCCUGUCACAAGGGCCAAGGCCUUAGAUGGCUCCUUCCAACACCUCCCGCCCCUGGAGGCAGGUCCUGACCAAAGGGAGGACAUCCAUGGGUUAGAGAUGCUGUGCUUGGAUUCUGUCAGCUGGCCGUCCCAGGAAGGUGCCCUGAGGGUGAAGAUUAAUGGCUCUUCAGCUCUCCCCUUAGAACACAUGCAGUCGUCACGUCCUGAAGAGAAAUGCAGCGGCUCAUAAAUUAUGGGCUGUCGUCAGAGAAGAUGCUACAAAGAGCCUGCCAUAUUGCUUUGUCGUUUGAGUAAAAGAAAGUUAGGAAAAUGUCCGUAGUUGCCGCGCCGCUUCGAGGGACUUACACGAUCUUCAUGAGUUGUUUUCUGUCCAAGGGGUGAGUGGCAUCUGUAGAGCAUGUCGCCUUGUACGAGGGGCUUGAUAUGCACUGUCUAUUGUCCGCUCCUAAUUGCUGCAUGUAUUGUUGUAGGGAUAAUUAUUUACCCCCCUUUCCAGAGAGUCAUAGUAACUAACACGUAUUGUUUUCCAUAUGCCAGGCGUUAUUGUAAGCAAUCUACAUGCUUCAAUUUAUUCUAAUUUUCACAGCAACCCUGUGAGGUAUAGACACUGUAAUUGUUCCAUUUUACAGAUAACGGCGUCAAGGCGCGGAGAAGUCACGUGUCUUCGCCAACAUUAUAUACUAAGUGAUAGAGCUGGGCGUCCCAUGCCGGUGGUUCGGCUCCAAAGUUGUCGCUUGCAAGGUGCUAAAUUAUACGACUAGGGUAACGACCAGCCAGUGAAAGCUCAGGUCCUAUCUGGAAUCCCAAGGCUUUUCUUUACGCGUGCUACCUCUUGUUUCCCUGAUGCCCGGGGCGUUUCUAACUAGUGUUAAAAAUCGUUAUGAGAACUGUACGUACGUAUGGUACAUAAACGCACACUUAUCUCCAUGUAUUUAGACAGCGUUCCUCAAAUAUGCUUGUACCGAGACCCCAGCAGAUGCUUCCCAUUCAGAUUAGAAUGAGAAAAAUAGUGAUAAAGGACCUCAAACUGGAGACCUUACCAUCUUGACUGUCACCGUUUAUGCUGAAAUGUGCACUGUUUUCAGCAAGAAGUAUGAUCCCAGUUUUCAAAGGUCAAAUAAAUCACCUUUAAAGUCGUGAAAAGGUAAACAGACUGAUGCCUGGACAGCUUUCCUGAGUUUAUGAGGUCUUCUGGCAACAGGGAUAUACAAAAAGCCCCAUCAAUCACCCCCUCCCCAUCCCCACCUCCCGGAGCAUUUAUUCCUGGGGGGAAUCACUCUACCAUGAACGGUAAUUUCCCCUGAAACUAUUAUUAGGAAUAUUAAAUCAAAGGAAAAUAGAACCCCCCAGAGUAAACACACUGCUUCAGAAAAGCAUUUCUCCUCUAGCCAAAUUCUAAAACGUGGCUGUGAUUCAGGGAGGCAGGGGUAGGAGAAUGGGGGUGGGGAGGAGGAGGUGCGUGAAGGGAGAAUGGCAGAGGACGGUCGGGAGACCUCUGGGGCAAGCGGGCGAGAUGCGAUGUAAACAAAAUUGUUGUCACAGAAGAAAACUAAUUGUGCAGCGCCCACAGUGCAUUUGACUGCCAAUCCGUUUCCACUUGGCUGGUGUCAUCUUCUAAGUCCUUUAAAAGGGCCCUACACACCUGCUUCCAGCACAUUCUCAGGUUAUACG